rnacentral:rRNA from 1 species
GACGAACGCUGGCGGCGUGCUUAACACAUGCAAGUCGAACGGAAAGGCCCCUUCGGGGGUACUCGAGUGGCGAACAGGUGAGUAACACGUGAGUAACCUGCCCUUGACUUCGGGAUAACUUCAGGAAACUGGGGCUAAUACCGGAUAGGAAUCCUUGCUGCAUGGUGGGGGUUGGAAAGCUUCGGCGGUUUUGGAUGGACUCGCGGCUUAUCAGCUUGUUGGUGGGGUAGUGGCUUACCAAGGCUUUGACGGGUAGCCGGCCUGAGAGGGCGACCGGCCACAUUGGGACUGAGAUACGGCCCAGACUCCUACGGGAGGCAGCAGUGGGGAAUAUUGCACAAUGGGCGGAAGCCUGAUGCAGCAACGCCGCGUGCGGGAUGACGGCCUUCGGGUUGUAAACCGCUUUCAGCAGGGGCGAAGCUUGUGGUGACGGUACCUGCAGAAGAAGCACCGGCUAACUACGU